AUGAACGCUGGCGGCGUGCCUAAUACAUGCAAGUCGAGCGAACAGACGAGGAGCUUGCUCCUCUGACGUUAGCGGCGGACGGGUGAGUAACACGUGGAUAACCUACCUAUAAGACUGGGAUAACUUCGGGAAACCGGAGCUAAUACCGGAUAAUAUAUUGAACCGCAUGGUUCAAUAGUGAAAGACGGUUUUGCUGUCACUUAUAGAUGGAUCCGCGCCGCAUUAGCUAGUUGGUAAGGUAACGGCUUACCAAGGCAACGAUGCGUAGCCGACCUGAGAGGGUGAUCGGCCACACUGGAACUGAGACACGGUCCAGACUCCUACGGGAGGCAACAGUAGGGAAUCUUCCGCAAUGGGCGAAAGCCUGACGGAGCAACGCCGCGUGAGUGAUGAAGGUCUUCGGAUCGUAAAACUCUGUUAUUAGGGAAGAACAAAUGUGUAAGUAACUAUGCACGUCUUGACGGUACCUAAUCAGAAAGCCACGGCUAACUACGUG
rnacentral:rRNA from 1 species